rnacentral:rRNA from 1 species
UACAGAGGUCCCAAGCGUUGUUCGGAUUCACUGGGCGUAAAGGGUGCGUAGGCGGCCGGGUAAGUCUGAUGUGAAAUCUCACAGCUUAACUGUGAAACUGCAUUGGAUACUAUCCGGCUAGAGGAAUGGAGGGGAGACUGGAAUACUUGGUGUAGCAGUGAAAUGCGUAGAUAUCGAGAGGAACACCAGUGGCGAAGGCGAGUCCCUGGACAACUCCUGACACUGAGGCACGAAAGCUAGGGGAGCAAACAGG